ensembl:rRNA 5_8S_rRNA 5.8S ribosomal RNA
AUGACUCAGCAGUUGAACACUCAGCUCAUGGGCCGAUAAAAACCACAGCUAGCUGUAAGAAUUAAUGUGAAUUACAGGACACACUGAUCAUCAACAUUUCAAACACACUUAUAGCCUUGGGUUCUACUCAGAACUAUGCCAAUAAAAAAAUUC